ACUUUCAACAAUGGAUCUCUUGGCUCUCGCAUCGAUGAAGAACGCAGCGAAAUGCGAUAAGUAAUGUGAAUUGCAGAAUUCCGUGAAUCAUCAAAUUUUUGAACGCAAAUUGCGCUUCUUG
rnacentral:rRNA from 1 species